rnacentral:misc_RNA from 1 species
GUUAUUUUCAACUGAUAACAGAACUAAACUAUUUAUUUUUGUUGUUUUUGUUAUAAAUACAGGAAGCUGCAACUGUUGCGUUUGGGAUUAUAAAAUUUACUUUGGGUUUUUCUUUUUGUUUUCUUUUCAAUCGGGCGCAGGGAAGUGGGUCAUUAAGAAUUUUGUAGAUUUCUGUAUCAUUGGAAGUUAUUUCCAACUUUAGGAAUCGCGAUUGUUUGUAAUACUUUGAUGAUGAAGAGGGUUUUACUUCGUUGAAUUUUGUAUGUAACUUUGGGAAGAAUUUAGGUUUUUAGGAUUUUUCAAGGGACGGUUGAUUGCCUAUUUGGAGUGAACUAUAGUUGAGGACAAAAAAAAAAAGAAGCUGAUUUUCUUAUUGGUUAUUGUCCAAAGACAAGAGGGCUUUAUUGGGUUGUUUUGUUUUGAUUUUAUUCGAGAAGCUUUCAGUGUGAAUUCAAUGGUUGUGGGCUUUUUCCAUUUUUGUGAAUUUGGGGUCUGUGGAAUUCUCCUGAAGUGUAGAAGGGUUUUGACUUUAUGGGAAUAGAGAUUUUUUUUUGGCUCAUUUGGGAUUUUGCAAUUGAAUAUUAUUAGGGAACUGAAAAUUAUCAUAUUCAAUUAGUGAAUCUUGGAGACUAUUGAUGUUGCAGUUCUGAUUAGAGCUUGGAAUUUAGGAUGGAUGAAUCUCAGGGCAGUUCCAAUUCAUUGCCACCAUUCCUUUCGAAGACAUAUGAGAUGGUGGACGAUCCUUCCACAGAUUCAGUAGUUUCAUGGAGUCAGAGCAAUAAAAGCUUUAUCGUAUGGAAUCCACCAGAGUUUGCAAGGGAUUUGCUCCCAAGAUUCUUUAAGCACAAUAACUUCUCAAGCUUCAUCAGACAGCUCAAUACAUAUGGUUUUAGAAAGAUUGAUCCAGAACAAUGGGAAUUUGGGAAUGAAGAUUUUAUACGAGGUCAACCACACCUUAUGAAGAACAUUCACAGACGGAAGCCAGUUCACAGCCAUUCUAUGCAAAAUCUCCAAGGACAGGGUUCUAAUCCAUUAACCGAUUCAGAAAGACAGAGUUUGAAGGAUUACAUAGAGAGGCUUGAAGAAGAGAAACAAGUUCUUGUCUUGGAUUUACAGAGGCAUGAACAGGAGAAGCAAGGAUUUGAGAUGCAAAUGCAGGCAUUGAAGGAGAAAUUGCAACAGAUGGAGCGAAAGCAGCAAACGAUGGUGUCUUUUGUGGCCCGAGUCUUGCAGAAACCUGGGCUUGCUUUAGAUCUCAUGUCACAGCUGGAACCAGGCCAUGAUAGGAAGAGAAGGUUGCCAAGAAUUGGUUAUUUGUAUGAUGAGGCCAGUAUUGAGGAUAAUCAGAUGGUGACUUGUCAAGCUCUUGCUAGAGAAAAUGCGGACAGUAAUUCUGUUGCGCUGUCAAACGUGGAGCAGUUUGAGCAAUUGGAGUCGACUCUGAGAUUUUGGGAGAGUAUUGUUAAUGAUGUCCAAACCAACAUUCAAAGCAAUUCAAUCUUAGAGUUGGAUGAAUCUACAAGUUGUGCUGAAAGCCUGGCCAUAUCUUGUGUACAAUUUAGUGCUGAUAAUCGGCCCAAGUCUCCUGCUAUUGACAUGAAUUCUGAGCCUGCUGUAGCUUCAGCUACAGAGUCUGAUCCUCCGAAGGAACCAGCAACUGGGACUGCUCCUGUGGCAGCUGGAGUCAAUGAUGUAUUCUGGGAACAGUUUUUGACUGAGAAUCCUGGUUCAACUGAUACACAGGAAGUUCAAUCUGAAAGAAAGGAUUCUGGUGAUAGAAAAAAUGAGAUCAAACCCAGUGAGCAGGGCACAUUUUGGUGGAAUAUGAGGAAUGUAAAUAAUCUUGCUGAACAGAUGGGGCAUCUUACUCCUGCAGAGAGAACUUGAAAUUUGCUUGAUUGUUUUUUCGGGCUUUUGGUGCCUCUUGAGCCUCACGUGUAAUAAAUUAGGAAGGGUGUUAAGAAGUGCAAUUUCACUGUUGCUCUAUGCAUUCAAAAGGGAGAGGAGGAGGAGGCAGCCAUGCUAUAAUCUAUGUGAUUUAGAAUCUUCUGCUGAUGCAUGGAGCUCUUGGAGUUUAAUUCUCAGGACUGGUACUGAUUAUGUGAAAUUGUCAUCUGAGAAAAUUGUAGUUGGGAAUUAGGAUCAAAUGGGGUCGUCUAGCAUGCUAUAAUAGGACUAAUUUUAGCAACUCGAUAACACAUGGAUUCUGGGAAUUGAAAGGUUUACAAAUAUUCUGUGCUUUGCUGCCUAUCACCUUAGGGGCUGAAUGCAGGAUAAAUCAUUGCACAUCACCUAUAUUCCUAAGACCCGUAUUGGCUCUUACUAGUUACUACUAGUACUUUUUUGUCUUCGCUAGCUGGAAAAUACUUGUAAUGUAAAUUCAAUCUCAGAGAAAAAAAAAAUGUAAUAUAAUUGAGUCAGUUCCCCUAGCUAAAGUUACAAUAAACAUUGGUCUUGUACUGUCUAGACUCUCCUCCUCGAUUGUACAUUUCUUGCUUCUAAGAGCCUAUCUUGAAGAUGAUGGCGAAGAUGGAAGUACACAGGCACAUCGUUGUUUGCAUACUAUACGACAAUUUCUUGAAGUUGUUCAUGGACAGUCGGUUAGUUAAGUAAUUCUCCUUAUGCGCUGAAAUUGAAGCAUGAUAUUAGAAUAUAACCUAUCUACGGGAAACUUACAUGUUUCCUUACCGUUAGCAAAGAUGUGGUUGAUUUCUAGUAACACUCUUGAUUGUCGAAUUCAGUAUCAAAACUAGCUUGGUUCAGAUUGAACCAUACUUGCCGGAAUACCCU